rnacentral:rRNA from 1 species
AAUAAUGCCAAAAUCAUAACCCUGGACGGUGGA